GCGGCAGUAGCUGGUAGAGCCCCCGCUUGCCAUGCGGGGAGACCUGGGUUCGAUUCUCGGCUGCUUCC
rnacentral:tRNA from 1 species